UUCCUGACUUGAGUAUUUAAA
rnacentral:piRNA from 1 species